rnacentral:rRNA from 1 species
ACUCCUACGGGAGGCAGCAGUGGGAAUAUUGCACAAUGGGCGCAAGCCUGAUGCAGCAACGCCGCGUGAGGGAUGAAGGCCUUCGGGUUGUAAACCUCUUUUAGCAGGGAAGAAGCGAAAGUGACGGUACCUGCAGAAAAGCACCGGCUAACUACGUGCCAGCAGCCGCGGUAAUACGUAGGGUGCAAGCGUUGUCCGGAAUUAUUGGGCGUAAAGAGCUCGUAGGCGGUUUGUCACGUCUGCUGUGAAAAUCCAAGGCUCAACCUUGGACUUUGCAGUGGGUACGGGCAGGCUAGAGUGCGGUAGGGGAGAUGGGAAUUCCUGGUGUAGCGGUGGAAUGCGCAGAUAUCAGGAGGAACACCAGUGGCGAAGGCGGCUACCUGGACUAAUACUGACACUGAGGCACGAAAGCGUGGGGAGCAAACAGGAUUAGAUACCCUGGUAGGUC